rnacentral:rRNA from 1 species
CUACGGGCGGCUGCAGUGAGGAAUUUUGCGCAAUGGGGGAAACCCUGACGCAGCAACGCCGCGUGAGUGAAGAAGGCUUUCGGGUCGUAAAGCUCUGUCAGAUAGGAAAAAAGUUCAUAUGUAAAUAGCUUAUGAAUCUGAUGGUACUAUCAGAGGAAGCACCGGCUAACUCCGUGCCAGCAGCCGCGGUAAUACGGAGGGUGCAAGCGUUGUUCGGAAUUUCUGGGCGUAAAGGGCGUGUAGGCGGUAUGGUAAGUCAGAUGUGAAAGCCCUGGGCUUAACUCAGGAAGUGCAUUUGAUACUGCCAUCCUUGAGUAUGGGAGAGGAGAGUAGAAUUCCCAGUGUAGAGGUGAAAUUCGUAGAUAUUGGGAGGAAUACCCGUGGCGAAGGCGACUCUCUGGACCAAUACUGACGCUGAGACGCGAAAGCGUGGGAGCAAACAGGAUUAGAUACCCUUGUAGUC